AACUAACGCUGGCGGCGUGCCUAACACAUGCAAGUCGUACGAGAAAGUUGGCUUCGGCUGAUGAGUAAAGUGGCGCACGGGUGAGUAACGCGUGGAUAAUCUACCUUUUAGUUGGGAAUAACGUACCGAAAGGUGCGCUAAUACCGGAUAAUACUGAGUGACUACUGUUGCUUAGUCAAAGAAGGCCUCUGUUUACAAGCUUUUGUCUGAAAGAUGAGUCCGCGUACCAUUAGCUAGUUGGUAGGGUAAUGGCCUACCAAGGCUACGAUGGUUAGCUGGUCUGAGAGGAUGAUCAGCCACACUGGAACUGAGACACGGUCCAGACUCCUACGGGAGGCAGCAGUGAGGAAUAUUGCGCAAUGGGGGCAACCCUGACGCAGCAACGCCGCGUGAGUGAGGAAGGUUUUCGGAUCGUAAAGCUCUGUCGAGUGGGAAGAAAUGUAUCAUGGCUAAUAUCCAUGGUACUUGACGGUACCGCUAAAGGAAGCACCGG
rnacentral:rRNA from 1 species